rnacentral:rRNA from 1 species
ACAUAGGGUGCAAGCGCUAAUCGGAAUUACUGGGCGUAAAGGGUGCGUAGGUGGCAUAGUAAGUUAGAUGUGAAAUCCUCGAGCUUAACCUAAGAAUUGCGAUUAAUACUGCUUAGCUUGAGUACUGCAGAGGAUAGUGGAAUUUCCAGUGUAGCGGUGAAAUGCGUAAAUAUCGGGAGGAACACCAGUUGCGAAGGCGACUAUCUGGAUAGACACUGACACUGAGGCGCGAAAGCGUGGGUAGCAAAAAG